UAUGGUGAUGAUCUUCACGGUACCCUGAGAGACCCUCGAUGAUGAGCCCCCUCUCAACUGACC
rfam:Pyrococcus abyssi GE5 complete genome; segment 2/6